CCUGAACACGACCAAACUCACCGGAAAAGAGAUCAGCGCCCAUAUCCUUCUCUCAUCAAGCAAACGACCACCCAUCGCCGCCUCUCCGUCAACCAGCCUCCCGCGCAGCAGUAAGUCCGGCGACAAACCAACAGCUUUCCACCUCUGGCCCUUCCAAAAACCAACGAAGAACAACCAGGUCAACAUCGACCAGCUAACCCGCCAGCGACCCUGCCACCGCCGUUCCUCCGUUAUGAACCAGCAGUAGCCUCCGCUGUCAACCAGCAGCAUCUGCAAGCUGCGAAAGAAAAACGAAAAAACUUAAGAGGGUUUGCUGUUAGUGUUCAUUCUUGAAUUCAUAGAAGAACAAGUUUCGUCAUGAUCUAGAAAGAAGAUAAUGUAUAUCAUCCUUUUAAGAAUUACAAAUAGCUUGAGUCUCCUAACAUCUGAUAACAAAGUGAGAACGAGAGGAUGAGUUUGGACUAGAGUGUCCCAGUUAUCCCUAGCCUCACGAAGGCAUUCUCAGUUUCGAGCUUGGGGGCAUCUGUACGAGGUUUUCGGUCCAGGUUCGUAGGCUUGAAGCAACCACUGAUGUGCACUUGAUUUGGAGUUUUACUGUUCAAUAUAAAAGAGGGAGUCAUCUAAGGUUCAAUCUUUCUCUUUCCUUUGUUUUUUUGGGUUUAUCUCCG
rnacentral:lncRNA from 1 species